UUUACUUUGCGCUUUUAUUUUGAAGAGUACCUUAGCACUUCCUCUUUUAUUGUGUCAGACUUCCUGUUCUGUUCUCAGUGAAACGACACAAACACGUUGCUUCAGAACUGGCUAAGAGAUGCGCAUGGAGGAGGUUGGCUAGCUGGCUCAGCAUGAUUAGCACCCUUGGAAGCAGAAAGAGCUUUCUGUUCGAGUCUUUUAUGGAAAGAGAGAGAGAGACUGUUGCUCUGCCAGCCCAUCAUGACCCUCACCAUCGUCAUGUGUGGGCCAAUGACACCUGGUGGAUUGCAAAGCUACUGCAGCCCACACCCUGCACCUGUGUGACAGCAGUGUCCAUAGCAACAACUCCUUAGCAACCACAUUCCUUUCUUAUCUGCUCAUUCCGAAGGUGGGACCAUGAGACAUAAAACAAAGUGACAGAUGUAUGACAGUUUCUUUUUGUGUUUUUUAUGUAACUACCUUCUCUGCUAACAUGUGGGGAGGCGUCUUUCCACCAUGUCUGUCAAUAAAUGAAGAUAAAGUCUGGGAAAUGUACAAGGUCACAAUUCCAGAGUACAGUGAACAUAUUUAUAAACACAAUCAGCAGUAAAAAGUACUUUCUGUUUCAGUCUUCAAUGUGAUCAAACACAACACUUACAAAGUUCAUGUAGAGUUUCAGGUUUAUUUAAUCAUUCACAAUGUCAACUCAUGCACUCAACAACAUGCCAGAACAUUUUAGAAUCUACUGCUUUCUUCCCUUAUUAUUUAACAAGAGAAUAGAACUGUAUUUAUUCAUUUUGAAGAGAUUACAAUAUCAAAGUCAACAAUAAAAGGCUGACACAUACAAACACUUGAAUAGUGACGUGGCGUUCCCUACAGCUGGGUGUGUAUUACAUAAAACAUCGAUAAAUCCUCUUAUCAUGACCUGGUUGUUUUUAGUCCAAGCAGUGCUGGAUUACAGCAGCUUCUGGUGUGCUCUAUGAUAUAAAGUAAAAUGCUGUUGAAAAGUUCAGUCUUGAUAUGUAGAACCAAACAGGAUGAACAGCUAAAUUCUCUGUGUUUAAACUGUCCCAAAAAACUCUUGAGGUUCAUAAAAACGUGAAAUAUUUAUUACUGAUCAAACUAAUGAUGAUGAUGACAUAUACAGACAACGAUGCAAGCUCUAUGUGCAGGCAAAUACUAUUGCAAAUCAGCUUCUGUUCAUUUCCAGUUAAUCAGGUUUUGUUUACAGCGUAUUGCACCCUGUGAUAUACUGCCCCCAUGUGGUCAUCUUAAAAACAAUGUGGAAGCUGCAUGUUGCAUGUAACGAUGCAAUGAGAAUCCUUCGUAGAAAACUUAGAGGAGGUAGUGCCAGUCAGAUGUUUGUAGCUGUGGGUGUUUGGACUUUUAAUGUACUUUUAAGAAAUGUAAUGUUCACAUUUAUGCUCUAACAGUAUAAUUUUAGCACUCACAGAGACAAUGAGUGGUUCCUGUUACUCAUCCAAUCUGAGGAAGCACUGGUUGAAGUGUUUAUGUAUUUAUUGUUUUCUUAUAAGUAGUUGUGUAUUUUAUGUAUAUAAUGGUUUUGUAUCAUUACAAAUAUUUGAUGUUUUCUUGUUGUUUUUUUAGACU